UACAGAGGGGGCAAGCGUUAUUCGGAAUUAUUGGGCGUAAAGGGCGCGUAGGCGGCUUUGCAAGUGACGGGUGAAAUCCCUCGGCUUAACCGAGGAACUGCCUGUCAGACUGUGAGGCUUGAGACCGGGAGAGGUGAGUGGAAUUCCCAGUGUAGCGGUGAAAUGCGUAGAUAUUGGGAGGAACACCAGUGGCGAAGGCGGCUCACUGGACCGGAACUGACGCUGAGGCGCGAAAGCCAGGGGAGCAAACGGG
rnacentral:rRNA from 1 species